CUCCCUCAAACCGCUGGGUUUGGUGUUGAGCAAUACGACUUGGGUUUGCUUGAAAGACGGUAGUGGUAAGGCGGGAUCGCUUUGACAAUGGCUUAGGUCUAACCAAAAACAUUGCUUGCGGCGGUAACGUCCACCACGUAUAUCUUCAAAC